CCUACGGGCGGCAGCAGUGGGGAAUAUUGCACAAUGGGGGAAACCCUGAUGCAGCGACGCCGCGUGAGUGAAGAAGUAAUUCGUUAUGUAAAACUCUAUCAGCAGGGAAGCAAAUGACGGUACCUGAGUAAGAAGCCCCGGCUAACUACGUGCCAGUAGCCGCGGUCAUACGUAGGGGGCAAGCGUUAUCCGGAUUUACUGGGUGUAAAGGGAGCGUAGACGGCAGUGCAAGUCUGGAGUGAAAGGCGGGGGCUCAACCCCCGGACUGCCCUGGAAACUGUACGGCUGGAGUGCAGGAGAGGUAAGUGGAAUUCCUAGUGUAGCGGUGAAAUGCGUAGAUAUUAGGAGGAACACCAGUGGCGAAGGCGGCUUACUGGACUGUAACUGACGUUGAGGCUCGAAAGCGUGGGGAGCAAACAGGAUUAGAUACCCGGGUAGUC
rnacentral:rRNA from 1 species